rnacentral:tRNA from 1 species
CUCAAAGGGGAGGCGGCGGACCUCUUCAGCUUCGUCCAGAAGGGGGUGGCCGACACCGCCCCGAGGUUCGACUUCCCCUACGAGCC